rnacentral:lncRNA from 1 species
GUGAAAAACGUGUAAAUAUGUUUUUCAAACAUGUUCUUAAGACUUUUUAAUCUUUCUAUGUUCUUGUUGUCUGGUUUAUUUCCCAUGAAUGUUAGGGAUCAGAUCACUGCUGUGUAAAUAAUAGUCCACCCAAGGUAUUCAUAUGCAUUUCUUGACAUGGCCUAAGGCAAGAGUCCUGCUUUCCAUUGUCCCCUAAUUUAU